AUUUCUCACUCAUUUUAAUUAUUUUUUACUCAAAAGUUUUAUACAAAGUCUUUAAAAAUAUUUUGCAACACAUAGUUUUUUUUCAUAGUUUUUUAAAUUAUUUUUGCAUUUAUUGUUAUUUUUAUUUCAUUUUCCUUUUAAAUUUCCUUUUACAAUUUAUUUUUCAACCAUUUUCAAACAUUUUUGCAUCCAACCUUUGAGAUCUAUUCAUGCAUAAUAUUUGGGACUUUAUGUAAUUUUUGCAACCAUUUCAGAAUCAUUUUGAUCAUAGUUUGAGAUUUUCUCUUUAAUUUCCCUUUUUAAUCAUUUUAAUCACAUUUUUGUUUGACUUUUGAUACACUUGAUGUUUUUGACUUGAGUUGUUG
rnacentral:lncRNA from 1 species